GCCGACGUAGCUCAGUGGAAGAGCACCUCCUUGGUAAGGAGGGGGUCGGGAGUUCGAUCCUCCCCGUCGGCACCA
rnacentral:tRNA from 1 species